UCUGCCUGUUGAGGAGUUGUAGGUAUGGGUGCUUUAUCAUACGUAUAUCAGUAGGUGACAGGGAGGAGAGAGGCUAUGUCUAUGCUUAGAGUUCUGAUCUACGAACAUCUGAAUGAUCAGUAGCCUAAUAUU